rnacentral:rRNA from 2 species
UGGGGAAUAUUGCACAAUGGGGGAAACCCUGAUGCAGCAACGCCGCGUGCGGGAUGACGGCCUUCGGGUUGUAAACCGCUUUCAGCCAUGACGAAGCUUUUGUGACGGUAGUGGCAGAAGAAGCACCGGCUAACUACGUGCCAGCAGCCGCGGUGAUACGUAGGGUGCGAGCGUUGUCCGGAAUUAUUGGGCGUAAAGAGCUUGUAGGCGGUUUGUCGCGUCGAAAGUGUAAACUCAGUGCUUAACGCUGAGCCUGCUUUCGAUACGGGCUGACUAGAGGAAGGUAGGGGAGAAUGGAAUUCCCGGUGGAGCGGUGGAAUGCGCAGAUAUCGGGAGGAACACCAGUGGCGAAGGCGGUUCUCUGGACCUUUCCUGACGCUGAGAAGCGAAAGCGUGGGUAGCAAACAGG